UACGUAGGUGGCAAGCGUUGUCCGGAAUUAUUGGGCGUAAAGAGCGCGCAGGCGGUCGAUCAAGUCGCGUGUGAAAGCCCCCGGCUCAACUGGGGAGGGUCACGCGAUACUGAUCGACUCGAAGGCAGGAGAGGGUAGUGGAAUUCCCGGUGUAGUGGUGAAAUGCGUAGAUAUCGGGAGGAACACCAGUGGCGAAGGCGACUACCUGGCCUGUUCUUGACGCUGAGGCGCGAAAGCUAGGGGAGCAAACGGG
rnacentral:rRNA from 1 species